ACGGGGCGCAGCAGGCGCGAAAACUUCCCAAUGGGCGAAAGCCCGAUGAGGGAAUUCCUAGUGCUAGCACAUUUGGGUUAGCUUUUCCUUAGCGUAGAUAACUAGGGGAAUAAAGGCUGGGUAAGAACGGUGCCAGCCGCCGCGGUAAU
rnacentral:rRNA from 1 species